GGUUGUUUGGCCGAGCGGUCUAAGGCGCCUGAUUCAAGAAGCACUGUGUUCUUAACCACUGGAAGGUGGGAAUACUCAGGUAUCGAAAGAUGCAAGAGUUCGAAUCUCUUAGCAACCA